rnacentral:misc_RNA from 1 species
GAUGAAGAACGUAGCGAAAUGCGAUACUUGGUGUGAAUUGCAGAAUCCCGUGAACCAUCGAGUCUUUGAACGCAAGUUGCGCCCGAAGCCAUUAGGCCGAGGGCACGCCUGCCUGGGCGUCACACGUCGUUGCCCCCCCAUCUACUCCUUCGGGAUUGCGGGGGGCGGAUGAUGGCCUCCCGUGCGCCUCGUCGCGCGGUUGGCAUAAAUGCCAAGUCCUCGGCGACGCACGCCACGACAAUCGGUGGUUGCGAAACCUCGGUUGCCCGUCGUGUGCGGUCGUCGCGCAUCGAGGGCUCGAAAAAAUUGCCGGGCUCCGGCUCGGCUUUCAACGCGACCCCAGGUCAGGCGGGGUUACCCGCUGAAUUUAAGCGUAUCAAUAAGCGGAGGA